rnacentral:lncRNA from 1 species
UACACAACAGAAACAUGGUCUGCAAAUCAAGACUAACCUCUACCCAAAACUGGGCUCCAAAAUGCGCACACAGGCUUAAUGAAGUUUUAGGGGACACUGCCGGCUCUAUUCAUUUCAUUAUCUAUCGUCGUACUGGUAGUAUCGUGCUGCGCCGACAAACUCUCUCUUUCUGCGCUGUCCUGCUUCCAAUUUUGCUUCCUUCUUGCUUCGCUGUGGGAAAUUUUAAAUUACAUUCGUCAAAUUCUUUGCAUUUUUAAAGGAUAUUGGUCAUUUUCCAGUUUUAUUUUCAGAGAUGGCAUCCACUAAGGCAGAUCCCCCCAAACCAGCCAAUCAGGAGGAGGAGGAGGAGGUCGACAUUGACCUCGGUGACCCCGACGUCCAAAGCGCAGCUCUCAAAAUCCAGGCCGGGUUCCGCGGCAUCAAGGCACGAAAAGAAGUCAAGGACGUCAAAGGGAAGGAGAGCAAACCAGGGAGCUCCUAGGACAGUCCAAGAACUCUUUAAUAAAACAACACAUUUUAUACUCGUUAUUUAGUCCUACGACACGCCCGUACUCGUAGAGCUAAAACUAUUUAUACUCGUCAAAUAGACAGCGUCAUUUACAUUAUAGGUGUAGGAAAGUAAGAGUCAUAGAGGGGUAGACAUGGAUUGAUGUCCAAAGUUAAGAAGAAAUUCUAGAUGAGUGAGUUUUAGAACAGUGCCCAUCUACAGCAACAGUUUAUUGCAGAAAGAGCUUGUUUUGGAAAGGUGUAUCAAAAAGGGAAAUGCAAGUUCUUUCUCAAAUGAUUAGGUACUUGUAAUUCUCCACCCUCUUUCUCCCUUUCUUCUACCCCCCCCCCCCUAUUCCUUUCUACAUCUUCUCUCUCCUUUCCCUUCCUAUCCCCCUCUCUCGCUCUCUCUCUCUCUCUCUCUUUCUUCUUCCUCUUUCACCUUUACAUGAAUGAAAUACCACUUUUUUUACCAACAGUUUAAAUAUUAUCACAUAUGAAACCCAAAGUGAAAAACAAAAAGACUUGCAUCACGUGACUCUGUAACGACUUGAUUGCUUCUAUCGUUCUCGGUCACCCAUGUGUAACGCAGAGCUGAACAGUGUCAAGUUUGACAGGUCGAUAACUGCCGCAUGGUUUAUGAUCGUGCUGGCUCCGGACCAUUAGUUACUGCAUGCAUUUUACAGGUUCUAAGUAUUGGAACACUCCUUUCUUUAAUCAACCUUGGUGUUUAACUCCUCCAUGUGGGGAACAAAUAACCUGUCCUAAUGCCAUCUUGGAUAAUUGGAAAGCAAUAAUUGAUGAUUAAUCAUUCGCUGAAUGCGUUUGGGAGUACGUUCCAACCUUUUCUCAAGGUACAUUAUCGGUACAACUAUGCAAACUUCUUGUUCAUUCUCUAGUUUAAAAUUCAUGCUUUGAUUCCACAAGAUCCUGAAUGGAUAUUCCACAUGACUCAAUUCCAAUGAUAGAAUUCAGAGUUCCACUUAAAUGAAGUCUUUCUGUACCAUGUUUUAUCAUAUUGCGUGAUUAUAUACAGUGUACUUUUGUUCAUGGAUAAAGGUAUGUUCUCUAUCAUGAUUUCAGAUCGUUGCACAACUCCAAUGUGAGCACAAGUUUGUCUCGGUAUCGUAUGUGUUCGUACAUGUAUGUUGUUCCUCCUUUACAUGCAAAAAAAGGGAGUAUUCACACUUUCAAAUAAGGCAUACUGUACAUCAUGCAGAUCAGGGAGUAUAGUAGGAACACACCUUUUCCAGGUUGCAAUCGUGGUGAAUUCAUACCAUGUACACGUACAUUUAGAUCAAAUUUCCACCCAGGACUUUGCAUCACAGCAACCAUUCAUCUACAUGUACAUGUAAGUGUGUAUAUUCACACCUGAAUGCCAUGUUUAUUCCGUAUUCACAAAUCUAUUUGUUGUAUAAUUCCAUAUUUCACAUAUAGUAAUUCCUAUUUUGAUAUCCAUAUGUAUUUUUGCAAUAUCAUCAUAGAACGUGUAUUCAAAGCAAUGAAGAUUUGCAAAGCCAUUCCAUUAUAUACAUUUUCAUAGCAGAAGGAAGUUUGAAACACCUUCUAAAGAUUGCAUAUGUCGAAAAAAGACAUGUGAAAUAUAUAGCAUGGCAAAAAAUGAUAUCCAAUCUGUAUUCCUGUAAUAAAUUUGCAGCACAGUACAAGCAGAAGAUAUAUAGCCAUGGUAAUCUCCCUACUCGAUAUUCCAUUGCAAACAGAACUAUCAUAAGUGCAUUGAUUUGCAGAGUCGAUGCUUUCACAGCUGUUGAUAGAUUUCCAUCAGGAACCAAAAAUAAUAAAUAUACCCAAAACCAGUCGGGCAUUGCCUGCCCUGGACACAAAACUCAAUUACUAGAACCCUAAAAAGGUCAACACGGUGGUUUUUCAUUAAGGAAUCAGCCAUUAAAAUCAAUAUUUCUUGCCUUGCUGUCCUGUUCAAGGUAAAAUGAAAUUCAGGCUACAUUUCGAGAUGAGCUGACGAUAAAGCAAUACAUGGGGAGUUAUGUUGUAGUCUACGAUUGUAUUCGGACGUAUAUAGGUCACAAAUUGUUGUUUGUCCUCAUUAUUUAACCCCUUUAACUACUAAAAUCAAAGAUGCGAUUUAAGACAUAUCAUUCCUUAUCUUUUCACUUGCAAUGAUACAGAGAUAGCUGUGCAGAAGUUGAAAUGCUUCUUGCAUUAUUCCAUACUGGUACUUAUACUAUGCAAUGCAUGCAGGUAAUUUACAUGAAUAAUGGUAACAUGCAUGUAUAUUUCAUUCACUUGAAGUGAAAAUAACAAAUAGCAAAUAGUUAAUUUCACAUACUCUGUGUACACAAAUCAAGAUGUAUAUUACAAGUUGUACAUGAAAUUUACAUUUGUUGUACUUUUGUACAUAUGUGCAUGUAACUUGCAUGUACAGGGCUGUAUCUACAUUUACUUCGCUGUGAAAAAUGGCGGUGGAACGCAUAACAGGAUUGAAUUUAAAAAGUACAACAUUCGUAAAAUAUAUCCUGUUUUUCAUGUCAGUAUGAGAAGAUAUUGUAGCAAAGAAAGGGCUGAGGUAAAUUUAUAACGAUAAGCAUUUGGAAAAGCAUUCAGAAAUGGUUAAUUUGUCCUUUUUUUUUCUUGGAUGAGGACAGGAAAAGUGGCAUCAAAACAUGCAGGGAAUACAUGUUAUGCUGUUUAAAGCAUUCUACAAACUUCAUGACGUAUCUUUCAGUGUAUAUAGUUCUUCUCGACUGGUUUAUUUAAGAUGGUAAAGAAAAAAUAGUUGAUCUUUAAGUUGAUGUAACAUACUUGAGCAAUAAUCCAACCAAUAAUUCAAGAUUUGUAUCAAGUUAUUAGACAGUGCCUUUGUGGAAAAUCUCACGAAUACAGGUACAGAGUUUUUUGUAGAAUUUCUAAAGUUUUGCAAUCUUUCUAGCAAUACUUCUCUCUGUAAUUUCUUUCUUUUUGCAUUCAAACUUAAAGGAUGUCAAUAACCUGCCAAAAAAAUGCAGAGGUACACAUAUCGCAGAAGCAUGGAAUUUCAUAUUUUGCAGUUGUCAGUGAAAUGUAAUAAUCAUACCAUACGAUAUAUAUGCAUGAGUCUUGAAAACAUUCUCGUAUUCAAUCGAGGAUCUUUUUGAGCCUAAGGCAAUGGCAUUGUCCAUAAUGAGAUGCUCCAGAAAUAAGUUUGGUACGUUAGCCAAGAGAAAAAGGUCAGAAAAGAUGUUCAUAUUUUGAUGCUCUAGGGCAUUAUUCGUCCACGCUUCUUAUGCACAGGCAAGCUGUAUUCAUCGUCGUAUUAUGUUACGAUUGUAAGCUCAAAUCUAUUUAUGCCACCGUUAUCUACUCCGCUAUCUUGUUUUUUGGAGUGGCAUAAAUAUUCAAAGUGUUUUGGAGUGGCACUUAAGUCCAUAUCGCGCUUGCUGUUACGACUAUAGUGCAUAGUUGGAAUUCCUCUGAUUGUAUGAUUGGAAUUUCAACUAUGUCCUUCAAGUCUUUAAUUGUGGAACAGGGCUUUGAAGUGUUGUAAAGCAUAUGGGAAUGUGUUCAGAUGGCCUAUUUAAUCCUAAGGGUAUCCUGGACUAAAUGCAUAUAUGCAUAUGGAAUGUGUUUAGACGGCCAAUUCAAUCCUUAGUGUACCCUGGACUACAUGCAUAUACAUGUAGCAAUGUGUUCAGAUGGCCAACUUAAUCCUAAGUGUACCAUGGAUUACAUGCAUAUACAUGUAGGAAUGUGUUCAGAUAGACGACUUAAUUUCUAAGUCUAUCAUGGAUUACAAACAUAUAGGACUGCGUUCAAUGGCUCACUUAAUCAUAAUGCAUAUUAUGACUGGUAUUUAUUCUAUGCAUUUUAUGAUAAGGUUCCUUGUUACAUGUGGCUGUACAUAAUUAUAAAAAAAAAUCUUUGAAAGAGUGCGUUUAGAUGGCCACACCACCAAUCUUAUCCAAUGUACGAAGAAACGAGAAGUGACUUUUGAAAUUUAUGCUCCUAUUGUUUUGUUAUUGACAAAGUUUAUCUUAUUAUAAAACUAAAACAUGAUACCCCAAAAGUACACCGUCUUACUUGUGUACAUUAAUGUCCAUUGCAGUAUACAAAAGAAAUAACCUGCUGCGAUAUAAUUUCAUCCAGUUAUACUUUGGAGCUCCUCCUCCUCCUCAUUAUUUAGCUUUUAAUAUUGAUAUAUUUGUAUAACAAAAUCAUGUACAACUUAGAGUGUUAAAAGAAGAGAACAUAGUUACAUGAUAUGGGUAUGUAGAUAGAAAUUUGUUGUCAUGUUUUUGGUACUGAUAUAUGUAUAUAAACAAUGUUUUUAUGUAAAGGCUGUUCGUUUAUAUAGAAAAUGAAAGAAGUUAUUAUUCAGUGUUAAGUUUGAUUUCUGUUUUCUGACUUUUAUUGAGUUAAGAAACAUUGUUUAUAAUCUCACAUUCUUAUAAGUUAUAUGUUCAUAUUUUAGAAGAUUAAUUAUGGUCAUGGUAAAAUAUCAUUUGCAAAUAAUAAAUAAAAAGAAAGAAGAGAAUAAAGGUAACCUCCUUCUUUCUCUAGAAUGAAGAUUGCAACCUAUUUUGAAAUCACUUUUCUGGUGAUAUUUGUCCUUAUAUUCUGGUGGGGGGGGGGGGGGGGGGGGUUCCUAAACUUGAAGGGUGUAAAAGUGAAUGAUAACAUGAAGGAAGAGAUAAUAAAAGGCACCUGUUGUCAAACACUCCUGAAUGUUAUAUGAAGCCUUAUACUAUUGUGGUCUACUACUAACGAAUGCUUUGGGGGUUAAUCAUAUUUUUUUAGGAGCAAAGGUUCAAUUUAUGCAAAGGCCUUUGUUUUUUUCAUUUAACAUCGGAUCACUGCUUUAAGAAAGUAAAUAAUGUAAGGAAACCACUUUUCCAUAUGCCUUUUUUGUAAGCCAAAAUAAAAAAAAUCAGUUGUAUUAAGUUACUUUUAAUAUUAUUAUUCAUUAUUACUUUUAAGUUGUAAAAAAUGUAAAGUUAUGAUUUAUUGGUAAAGCCCUGGUUUAUUUAUGGUUUGCUUCAGAUAGGCUAAUUUGUGCAAAAGGCAUUUUUAUUGUGAAUAAAAGUCAUAUUCGCAACAGUUUAUAAACUGUUUUUAUCGUU